rnacentral:rRNA from 1 species
AUUGAACGCUGGCGGCAGGCCUAACACAUGCAAGUCGAGCGGAUGAAGGGAGCUUGCUCCUGGAUUCAGCGGCGGACGGGUGAGUAAUGCCUAGGAAUCUGCCUGGUAGUGGGGGAUAACGUCCGGAGACGGGCGCUAAUACCGCAUACGUCCUGAGGGAGAAAGUGGGGGAUCUUCGGACCUCACGCUAUCAGAUGAGCCUAGGUCGGAUUAGCUAGUUGGUGGGGUAAAGGCCUACCAAGGCGACGAUCCGUAACUGGUCUGAGAGAAUGAUCAGUCACACUGGAACUGAGACACGGUCCAGACUCCUACGGGAGGCAGCAGUGGGGAAUAUUGGACAAUGGGCGAAAGCCUGAUCCAGCCAUGCCGCGUGUGUGAAGAAGGUCUUCGGAUUGUAAAGCACUUUAAGUUGGGAGGAAGGGCAGUAAGUUAAUACCUUGCUGUUUUGACGUUACCAACAGAAUAAGCACCGGCUAACUUCGUG